rnacentral:lncRNA from 1 species
CAGAACUUCAACUCUGUUCCAGUCCCCACCUCUCCUUCUGAGCCGUCAGUCCACCACUGAGCCCCGUGCCCCCAGGAGGCUGACCUCAUUCUUAACUCGAGAUAGGAAAUGUACCAGACGAGAAGCUGCAGAACAGUGCCAGCAAAUUCAGAUUCCCUGGACAAUGCUGAGUGCCCGAGGCUGCGCCUGGACGCAGGGUGCACGGUUCAGCUCUGACCCUGGAUCGCAGAGCUUAACCCUGGUGUCUCUAUCAGAACCUUAAAAAGACAGAGCAGUCCUAAUAAAUCUCAGAUAGUUGAGCUAUAUGGGUUCAAACCACAAAACUAAAUUUUAAGAAAAAACUGUU